rnacentral:rRNA from 1 species
GUGCCAGCAGCCGCGGUAAUACGUAGGGGGCUAGCGUUGUCCGGAAUCAUUGGGCGUAAAGCGCGUGUAGGCGGCCCGGUAAGUCCGCUGUGAAAGUCGGGGGCUCAACCCUCGAAAGCCGGUGGAUACUGUCGGGCUCGAGUGCGGAAGAGGCGAGUGGAAUUCCUGGUGUAGCGGUGAAAUGCGCAGAUAUCAGGAGGAACACCGAUUGCGAAGGCAGCUCGCUGGGACGUUACUGACGCUGAGACGCGAAAGCGUGGGGAGCAAACAGGAUUAGAAACCCUGGUAGUCC